GAACGAACGCUGGCGGCAUGCCUAACACAUGCAAGUCGAACGAGACCUUCGGGUCUAGUGGCGCACGGGUGCGUAACGCGUGGGAACCUGCCCUUAGGUUCGGAAUAACUCCCCGAAAGGGGUGCUGAUACCGGAUAAUGUCUUCGGACCAAAGAUUUAUCGCCUUUGGAUGGGCCCGCGUUGGAUUAGCUAGUUGGUAGGGUAAAAGCCUACCAAGGCGACGAUCCAUAGCUGGUCUGAGAGGAUGAUCAGCCACACUGGGACUGAGACACGGCCCAGACUCCUACGGGAGGCAGCAGUGGGGAAUAUUGGACAAUGGGCGAAAGCCUGAUCCAGCAAUGCCGCGUGAGUGAUGAAGGCCUUAGGGUUGUAAAGCUCUUUUACCCGGGAUGAUAAUGACAGUACCGGGAGAAUAAGCUCCGGCUAACUCCGUG
rnacentral:rRNA from 1 species